UGGGAUUGAUAGGAUCACCUGGGACUACACGUCCGGGAGUGAUCUUACAUGGGAGUGACCAUCUCCCAGCGCUUAAGAUUGACAAAGGCUACCGUUAGCAUGCUAUUGCGUUAGCUCAUCAACUAGUUGCUGGGCACUGCUCAUUUUUCACGUCUGCCCGGCAUUUCGCUGAUGAACUAACGCUUGGACGUCUUGCCAAUGUAUUUUACAGCGGCAAAAAUGCAUCUAGGCGACGUUGGCAAGAUUGGUGUGCCGUCUGGGUAUGUGUUGGUUUUCAGUGCUGGGCAGUAGCGAAGCGACUAGUUUAAUUACAUUCCCUAGUAGCUUGGUCGUAGCGUCAUUACUAUGUAUCGACUAACGUCCCUGUAGUUAGGAAAUAAAUAGUUUGGAAAUCAAUGUGAAAUACCCUGGCAUUUGCAACAGUAGGCAACCUGUCCUUAAAAAGUAUGGGUCCUCAAAACAGCACUUGUUGCACAAAUAAGUGUUGCAUAGAGCAGUGUUUCCCAACCAGGGGUACGUGUACCACUAGGGGUACGCGAGCACCCUGCAGGGGGUACUUGGAAAAAUGAAAACAUGUAUGGAGCAUAGUCACAUUGGGAUAUAAAGCAUGAGUCAGGGGGUACUUGUGGUAUGAGAAAAGGCUUAGGGGGUACUUAAGACAAAAAAAGGUUGUGAAACACUGGCAUAGAGCACGCCACCCCGAAAUCAAUGUGAAAUACCCUGGCAUUUGCAACAGUAGGCAGCAUGUCCUUAAAACGUAUGGGUCCUCAAAACAGCACUUGUUGCACAAAUAAGUGUAGCUGGCCUCUUCAAGAAAUUGAAAUUAUGCAUGGUCACUUUUUCUUAUUGUUUCAUGUGGAGGUCUACUGACAUUGUCUAAAUAAUGUAGGCUAGUUUAUGUCCAUGUAUUAUAUUAGGACCCAAGGUUAAUGGGUUAUUCUGUUUACCAUGUUUUCACAGGCUGCUGUCUCAUAAUAUGGCGAAGACGAGUCACUUGAAGGCCUAACAGCUCUUAUGAGGAGCAGUCUUGCCAUAGAAGACUGAAAGAAUGUAAGAUUAACUUCUUUGUGACCAAUAUGACUUGCUCAUUGAUACAUUAGCUAUGUCAAUAUGAGAUGCAUGGCGAAGUAUUUAAUUUAUUUGUCUCUCUUCUAGGAGCUGUAGAAACAACAGGGUGCCUGCUGCAGUAUGACGAGGACGCCCUGAUCAUAGAAGGUCCAGUGUCUUGGCAGGGUGAAAUGGCACUGAUAUCGGUAUGUGGUGAUAUCAGUUAAAAUUAAUGAAUUAAUUCUCAUAUCUGAAUAAUGUGAACACUGGAUUUACCACACACUCACACACACCCUAGUCCUAGAUGAUACAACCAAGGUUACUUUUACCACAGCUCUGGCACUGCAUCAAAUUUCUUUUCUUUUUUAUAGAACUGGACAGGUCAUUUAUUCGUUCCCCUUGUUUUUUGCAGUGUCCUGCAGGAUGCUGUGUCCUGCAAUCCUGUGUGCUGUGCUACAGACGCGUGUGGAGGUCAACCCGAAAUGGGCACAGUAGAGUGAAAGAGGAUCCUGGCAGGGAGACGGUAGUGUCCUGCAGGAUGGUGAUGGGCAAUCUUACAAGAGACCACAGAAAACUGAUAUAGUCUCCCAGAAGUGAGACUGAGUGCCUGUUGCAGUAUGACGAGGAAGCAGUGACCAGAGACCUUCAGUAGACCCUGCUGGCACGAUUGGCGGCUGAAGAACA